GACGAACGCUGGCGGCGUGCUUAACACAUGCAAGUCGAACGGAAAGGCCCUGCUUUUGUGGGGUGCUCGAGUGGCGAACGGGUGAGUAACACGUGAGUAACCUGCCCUUGACUUUGGGAUAACUUCAGGAAACUGGGGCUAAUACAGGAUAGGAGCUCCUGCUGCAUGGUGGGGGUUGGAAAGUUUCGGCGGUUGGGGAUGGACUCGCGGCUUAUCAGCUUGUUGGUGGGGUAGGGGCUUACCAAGGCUUUGACGGGUAGCCGGCCUGAGAGGGUGACCGGCCACCUUGGGCCUGAGAUACGGCCCAGACUCCUACGGGAGGCAGCAGUGGGGAAUAUUGCACAAUGGGCGGAAGCCUGAUGCAGCAACGCCGCGUGCGGGAUGACGUCCUUCGGGUUGUAAACCGCUUUCGCCUGUGACGAAGCGUGAGUGACGGUAAUGGGUAAAGAAGCACCGGCUAACUACGUG
rnacentral:rRNA from 1 species